CAGUCGCCACGGGAAUACAGAGGGUGCGAGCGUUAAUCGGAUUUACUGGGCGUAAAGCGUGCGUAGGCGGCUUCUUAAGUCGGAUGUGAAAUCCCUGAGCUUAACUUAGGAAUUGCAUUCGAUACUGGGAAGCUAGAGUCUUGUAGAGGGGGGUAGAAUUCCAGGUGUAGCGGUGAAAUGCGUAGAGAUCUGGAGGAAUACCGGUGGCGAAGGCGGCCCCCUGGACAAAGACUGACGCUCAGGUGCGAAAGCGUGGGGAGCAAACAGGAUUAGAUACCCCGGUAGUCCCUGUCUCUUAUAC
rnacentral:rRNA from 1 species